UCUAUUUAUUUUUAUAUUUAAUUAAUAAAACUUUUUCUGUCAUGAUUUUAAUCUUUUUUUUUAUUUACCUUUUGUAUAAGGUUCUUUAGAUGGGGUCAUUUAUUGUUUUUAGAAAGAUUUCGAUCUUUAGGUUUAUUUUUUUUGUUGUAUUUUUUUAAAUAAACCUAAAGUAGUCACAUGCUAACGUUUUUUCUUUUAUCUAUUUAUUAGUGUGCUAAAAGGGUAAUCCUUUUGUUUUUUUAUAUUGUUUUAUUUAUUUUUUUUUCUUAAUAGUUGACUUAUGUGUAAUAACUUCUUUUUAUUUUGUUAAUAAUUACUUAAUUUAUUUUUUAUUCAAUUUAAUUAAAGUAUUAGUAGGUAGAGUGUUUUUUUUUUAUUCGUUUAUUUAAUUUUUAUUUUUACAGAGUUAAAUAUUACUUAUUAGCUUUUUACGUGUUUAUUUAAAUCUUAGCUUAAAUUUUUUAAGUUUCUACUGCUCUAUGAGUUUUAAAUGGCUGUGGUAUCACACUAAGGUAGCGAAAUCAUUAGUUCUUUAAUUGUGAACUUGUAUGAAGGUAGGUAUUAAAAGCUUAUUUACAAUUUUUCUUAAAUUAUAUUUAUGUUGAAAAUAACAUUAAUCUUUCUAAGACAAAAAGACCCUAGAAUUUUUAUAAAUCUAUUUAUUUUAUUGGGGCAAUGAUAAUUUUAAAAUAAUAAAAAUUUUUCUUUUUACUGAACUUUUUUAGAUAAUUAGUAAAAAUACUCUAGGGUUAACAGCUUUAUGGCACUUAUUAGUUCUUAUUAUUAGUGUUGUUUGAGACCUCGAUGUUGGAUUAAAUUAUUUCUACUUGGCGUAGAGGCUUUGUUAGAUAGACUGUUCGUCUAUUAAAAAUUUACAUGAUCUGAGUUAAAGUCGGCGUGAGCCAGACUGGAUUUUAUCUAGAAAUUUAUUUUAGUUGAUUCAGUACGAAAGGACCUCUCAAUAGGAAAAUUUUCUUUUUAACUAUACUUUAUUUUA
rnacentral:rRNA from 1 species